GAGCUUGCCCAGCACCCAUCGCCCGGCAGAGCAGUUCCUGGUCCAAAACAGCUCUCCAGGUUCUGUUCUGUCCCUGUUUUUGCGUUUUUCCUGGGCUGGGAGGAGGAGGCUGAGCCGCAAAAAGAACCUCUCUGGCAACCAGCAACAGGACAAGAGAACAUAGCUGCAGCUGUGCCAGAGGAGGUUCAGGUUGGACAUCAGGAAUAAUUUCUUCAUGGAAAGUUUUGUUAAACAUUGGAAUGAACUGCCCAGGACCAUUCCUAAAGGAGUUUCCCUCACCCCUGAUGGAUCAAGACUUUGACCAAUGGACAUCAAAAUUUGAGCAAGUCCCAUUGCUGGAUCUAUGAAACAGAUUCUGAAGUUCUUACCUGGCUCAGGAAAUACAAUUCUAUCAGAAGUCUGAUGGAUCUUGUUACUGCUUCCCUUCCUUUCAUCUAGAAGAGAAGAAAAUUGGCCAAAAGAUAAAUGUGAAACCAGUCCAGAGAAGGCAUGGCAUAGGAUUAAAAUAAAGAUUGAAAGGAAACGAUAUGACUGAAAAAUUGCUAUCUAAAUGACAAUAAUAUGGCAUACUCUUAAUUGUCAAAGAAAAUGCUUGACUAAAAUACAGUUCUAAACUUAGUAAACUGUGUUAUGGAUCAAUGAACUGUCAUAAAACCACAUUUCAAUAAUUCAUUUAAACUUUACAAAUUCCAGAAAUUUAUAUUGGCUGGGAUUGCCUACUAGGUACAGAUCCUACCUGGUAAACAACUGCUUUAGAAUUGAUUUCUUGCAGCUUUUACCAAAGAAACCAAAAAUCUCUACCUUUCCUUUUUUUUUUUCCUGACUGUAAUAAUGGAGGGUAAGCUCCCAUAUGUCAGUCUCCAAUUUACCUUUUUUCUCUGUAAUGAUAGAGAUUGUUUUGAAUAGAUAUUUCUUUCCAGUAAAAAGCAAACCAAAAUACUAAAAACAAAGAAUGUCCAUUUUCAAAUUCAGAGUAGCUCAAAACGCAUUUGCCUGCUGAACAGCUCCUUAUCCUCAAACUUGAACUCCCUUUUGAACAGAAAUACUUUCCAGUAUGACCCAUUUUGCCACUGACAUGUCACUUAGCCUCUUUGAAAUGACAGUUCCUAUAUGCCCUUCACACUGCAGUUAUUGCAAAGCUCUUUUAUUUUAUUCAGAGCCCCCAUCAUUGUUUUGAUUCAUUUUUAUCACUACUGGCCAUCCCUGUCAAAGCUUCCUAGAUCUAAAAGUAAUCUUAGGAGGACUGGCAGAAGUAAGACUGAAGUCUCAUACAAUUUUGUUCUUCACUUUAAAGUAUUUGGUCAUUUGCUUGGGAUGCAUGAUUAACUAAAAUUCUUCAUGCAAAUAAAGACUGAAUUCACAGAGUAGCUGGUGUUUUCAAAUUUUACUGGUAAGCCAUUUUUGCAGAGAAUAUACAGAAAUGGAUGGAGAAGCAGAAAAAAUAUUUUCCAGAAUUUUAAUUCUGUUGAGGAUACUUCUACUGUCAUGUAAUAGAUGAAACAUUCAGGUAUUGAAUAGACUGG